rnacentral:rRNA from 1 species
GCAUUUAUUAGAACAAAACCAAUUGGCUUCGGUCAUCUUUGGUGAAUCUGAAUAACUAUGCUGAUCGCACGGUCUCGCACUGGCGACAUAUCCUUCAAGUGUCUGCCUUAUCAACUGUCGAUGGUAGUUUAUAUGACUACCAUGGUUGUAACGGGUAACGGAGAAUAAGGGUUCGACUCCGGAGAGGGAGCCUGAGAAACGGCUACCACAUCCAAGGAAGGCAGCAGGCGCGCAAAUUACCCACUCUCAGAACGAGGAGGUAGUGACGAAAAAUAACGAGACAGUUCUCUAUGAGGUCUGUCAUCGGAAUGGGUACAAUUUAAACCCUUUAACGAGGAUCUAUUGGAGGGCAAGUCUGGUGCCAGCAGCCGCGGUAAUUCCAGCUCCAAUAGCGUAUAUAAAAGUUGUUGCGGUUAAAAAGCUCGUAGUUGGAUCUGCGAUCGUAGACACUGGUUCCCUUCACGGGAUACUAGCUGUCUCGAUCUACCUUGUUAGACGUCCCUUAGUGCUCUUCAUUGAGUGCUCUGGGUGUCUAGCUCGUUUACUUUGAAAAAAUUAGAGUGCUUAACGCAGGCA